AAUAUAUCAAAAUAGACAUGCUAUGAUUCAACCUUCUACUCUAAUAAAAAAAUGAAUGUGGCAAUAGAUGCCACCACUGUCUACCUUUGAUCUGUUCCAAGGUAGUCGUGACUACCAAGAAACAGAGAUUUUACAUUCCUAUGAUCUAUAAUCUGCACAAGGACGACUGUGUGGAUCAAAGGAAACAGUGUGUAUAAUUAAUGCUUCUAAACGCAAGAAAUUGCAUAGAUUCUUGUUUAUAGGCAAUUUUUGGGUGUGGACUUUUCUUUAACACCACCCAGUGGACGCAGGAAGCAACAGCAACUUGCAGAUAUUUACGGUCCACAUAUUGUUCAGAACCAUGUCCUCUGGUAGUUGAUCACCACAGCUCGUACCUCCUGUCAUAGCCGGGUCCAUAAGGAUACUGCUGCCUGGGUCCCAUUGGCAGGGUGCCCAUUCCUCCAGGUGGUCCUCUGUUAAAUGGGGGCUGCUGUUGUGGUGGUUGCUGCUGUGACUGGUCACCCAUCCCACUGUUAGGCCCUUGGCUAGCAGGGACCCAUGCGCCCCUGCAUGUCUGGGGCGUUAAUGCUGGAUUGGUAGGCCGAGUUGGGCGUCAUGUUCUUUCUUGGGAAACCAGGGUCAUUUCCUUCAGAAAACGGGUCCUGCAGGUUGACGCUACUCCUGAGGAAGCACAGGUCACAUGAGGAAAAUUAAGUCGGAUUCAAGACACACCUGGACAUUGGAGGCAUCGGGGGCAUCUGAGAAUGAGGAGUGGAUGCUGGAGUCGGA